CUCUCUGACAGUGGUGCUUCUAAAACGGCUGCUACCCUCCACGCUGUGUCGAUCUUGCUGAAGCUUGGUCGCUCUUGGAAAUGGUUCAUUGAGCUUAGUGCCUUGGAUUAUCCCCUCAUUACUCAAGACGUCUUGAUGAAAUGGGCUGGCUAAGAUCCCAGAUAUUGAGAAGUGCUUAGAGGUUGUUGCCACUUUGGAAGCAAGGACGAUACUGUGUCUUGGUGAACAAAGAGCCCAAAGAAGGUUGAAGAGAAGAAAAUAGCCGCAUGGGGAAGUGAUGUUCCUAAUGAUUUGGAACUGAACGAGGAGGCACUUGCUAAUGCUCUGAGAAUAAAAGUCUCUUUUACCAUUUUAAGUUUUUAACUUCAAAAAACUUAUUUCGUUUUGUGUGAUGAUGUUGUCUCCCUUUACUCGCAACACCUUCUCUUGUAGUAUUAAUAAACUGAAAUCUUUGUCAUUUAAACUUUAUGAAAUUUGCUUAUUG